rnacentral:rRNA from 1 species
GAUGAACGCUAGCUACAGGCUUAACACAUGCAAGUCGAGGGGCAGCAUGGUCUUAGCUUGCUAAGGCCGAUGGCGACCGGCGCACGGGUGAGUAACACGUAUCCAACCUGCCGUCUACUCUUGGACAGCCUUCUGAAAGGAAGAUUAAUACAAGAUGGCAUCAUGAGUUCACAUGUUCACAUGAUUAAAGGUAUUCCGGUAGACGAUGGGGAUGCGUUCCAUUAGAUAGUAGGCGGGGUAACGGCCCACCUAGUCUUCGAUGGAUAGGGGUUCUGAGAGG